GCUUCUUGCUGGUCUUCUGAGGAGAUUUUAUUAAAGAGAUUCCACAUGUAGCUGGAUUGCAUCUUUAUUAAAUCUAGUACAUUUUGGAAAUGAACAAACAGUCUGGAAACUGUAUUUCUGAUAUGGAGUAUCAUUGUACUUCAUGGUGAGGUUGCAAACUCAAGCACUAAUGCCAGGCUUCCUGUCAGCAUCCUGAGACGAUCACAUUGGAGACUGUUACUCUGAGCUAUGGUAUAAACUACAAAUACAUUCCUGAUGAGGAGUAGGACUUGUGUUCACAUCCAUAAUCAAUGCCGCAGUUGUGAUCCAUGGCAAGGGGAGAACAUUCAGGACAACUCAAUCAGCUGAAAACAGACACUCAAAAAUACACAAUACUGGAAGACUUUUUUUUCCUUAUUAUCUUAGGUCAUGGAGGGAAUAUCACUUAACUAGUAUGGCACAGUUAAGAUGACAGAGCUUACCCAAGAAGUUUAUUCACUUGCUGGGAUACCAAAGCUUUACUGUCCACAGCAUUCUUAGAUACUCCCUUUCAAUGUGAGUUUAGAAGAGGCAAAACAGUCUAUAGGUGUUCAUACUGUAAUUAAGAAUUAUACAGAAAGUACUUAUGCAUAAGAAGUGUGGCUAGAGGGGCUUAAUUCUGCAACUCAUGUGUUAUCUUUGACUUUUUUUUAAAGGAAUUGUUCACUAGCGAGUAGCUGUAAGGAAUAGAAAAUUUGAUGAACCACAUUGAAGAAGGUCUAGGAAGCAGAGAUGACAUCAAAUGGGAGUAUGGUGUAAUCAUUUUCAAUAAAGGAUCUCAAUAGUAACUCAACACAGGACUUCUUACACCUAUUUUGGGAGUUUUGCUCGGUGGAGGUAAGAGUCAGUUAAAGCCAACACCUUGAAAUAUCCAGGAAGGAGGCAUAAGAGUUGGAGCAGGCUCCAACUGAAAACUCUCCCAGG